rnacentral:rRNA from 1 species
UACGUAGGUGGCGAGCGUUGUCCGGAUUUACUGGGCGUAAAGAGCGCGCAGGCGGUCGGAUCAGUCGAAUGUGAAAGCCCCCGGCUUAACUGGGGAGGGUCAUUCGAUACUGUUCGACUCGAAGGCAGGAGAGGGAAGUGGAAUUCCCGGUGUAGUGGUGAAAUGCGUAGAUAUUGGGAGGAACACCAGUGGCGAAGGCGGCUCACUGGACCGGAACUGACGCUGAUGCGCGAAAGCGUGGGGAGCAAACGGG